rnacentral:rRNA from 1 species
UACGUAGGUGGCAAGACGUGUCGGUUUCAUCUGGGCGUAAAGAGCGCGCAGGCGGUCGAUCAAGUCGCGUGUGAAAGCCCCCGGCUCAACUGGGGAGGGUCACGCGAUACUGAUCGACUCGAAGGCAGGAGAGGGUAGUGGAAUUCCCGGUGUAGUGGUGAAAUGCGUAGAUAUCCGAAGGAACAUCAGUGGCGAAAAGCGGCUUCCUGGACCAGAACUGACGAUCAGGCUCGAAAGCGUGGGGAGCAAACAGG